UUAACCAUUAGUUUACUAUUGGAGCGGUUAGUGGCGGACUGGUGAGUAACACGUAAGCAACCUGCCUAUUAGAGGGGAACAACAGUUAGAAAUGACUGCUAAUACCGCAUAUGCCUAAGUACCACAUGGUGCAAUAGGGAAAGGAGUAAUCCGCUGAUAGAUGGGCUUGCGUCUGAUUAGAUAGUUGGUGGGGUAACGGCCUACCAAGUCGACGAUCAGUAGCCGGACUGAGAGGUUGAACGGCCACAUUGGGACUGAGAUACGGCCCAGACUCC
rnacentral:rRNA from 1 species